rnacentral:rRNA from 1 species
CCUGGCUCAGGAUGAACGCUAGCGGCAGGCUUAACACAUGCAAGUCGAGGGGCAGCGCGGGUAGCAAUACCUGGCGGCGACCGGCGAAAGGGUGAGUAACGCGUGAGCAACAUGCCCGAUACUGGGGGAUAGUCGAUGGAAACGUCGCGUAAUACCCCGUAACACAUUCUCUCGCAUGGGGGGAUGUUGAAAGAUUGAUUGGUAUCGGAUUGGCUCGCGUGCCAUUAGGUAGACGGCGGGGUAACGGCCCACCGUGCCGACGAUGGCUAGGGGUUCUGAGAGGAAGGUCCCCCACAUUGGAACUGAGACACGGUCCAGACUCCUACGGGAGGCAGCAGUGAGGAAUAUUGGACAAUGGCCGGAAGGCUGAUCCAGCCAUGCCGCGUGCGGGAUGACGGCCCCUAUGGGUUGUAAACCGCUUUUGCGGGGGAGCAAUAAGAGCAACGUGUUGCUCGAUGAGAGUACCCUGCGAAUAAGCAUCGGCUAACUCCGUGCCAGCAGCUGC